rnacentral:pre_miRNA from 11 species
CGGCUCACAGGACUCGAUGCGGGGUCCUCGGGCUACAACACAGGACCCGGGCGCUGCUCUGACCCCUCGUGUCUUGUGUUGCAGCCGGAGGGACGCAGGUCUGCA